GAUGAAGAACGCAGCGAAAUGCGAUAAGUAAUGUGAAUUGCAGAAUUCAGUGAAUCAUCGAAUCUUUGAACGCACAUUGCGCCCGCUAGUAUUCUGGCGGGCAUGCCUGUCCGAGCGUCAUUUCAACCCUCAAGCCCCCGGGCUUGGUGUUGGGGAUCGGCGAGCCUCCGCGCCCGCCGUCCCCUAAAUCUAGUGGCGGUCUCGCUGUAGCUUCCUCUGCGUAGUAGCACACCUCGCACUGGGAAACAGCGCGGCCACGCCGUUAAACCCCCAACUUCUGAACGUUUGACCUCGGAUCAGGUAGGUAUACCCGCUGAACUUAAGCAUAUCAAUAAGCGGAGGA
rnacentral:misc_RNA from 1 species